UGUGGCCAGGGAGCCGCAGGCAAGGGACUAAGGGGAGGGGGGCUCAGUGCCAGCUGCUUAAAAAUGCCCCUGUGGCAGCGAGGGGCACCAGAGGCUGGGUCUAAUUAGUUGAGAAGCAGUGACACCCCCAACCACUCCCCAAACAGGCUGGCUCCCGUCUCCAGGCCCCAAGGAGCCACACCUGGACCAGACCCCAGGAAAGGCAAGGGCACUAGCUGGUGGGAGCCACCCCGCCAUGCUGAUGUCAGAGAAGCAAGAACUCUGGAGAAGCAGCCUCCUGGGACCAGAGGAGGGCCAGCAGCAGGCAGCCCGGAGACAGAACUCUCACCCACGCCUCUCCAAGCCUCCCGACAGAAGACAGAGGUCCCCCACAGCCAGAGACAUUUCCUGAAGACAUGGGGAACACAGAGGCAGAAACAGCCCAUCCACCCAGGAGCUGUCCCCCACACUGCCGGGAGCCGGCACCCAGAGCCGCCAGGUAAAACUGAGGCCACCUGGUUCAACAUCGCCUUUCAUAGAAGGGGAAGCAGCCACAGAAAGAAGGGCCUGGUAAGAAGUGGAACCUGGGACCCCCAAGCGGUGUCUCUCAUCCUGACUGGGGAUCCAGAGUAGGAGGGAGCCUUUGGUGGGACACAAAGGAACAGAACGAGGCACCAACAGCAAGGGGCAAGCAGAUUCAAGGGCCACAGAGGAGAUGGAGGCAAACACCUUCCCCUGGUCAGAGGCUGUGCCUCAGCCCUUCUCCCUGCAUCAGUUUCUCCUUCAGAAGCAUGGGACUACCUCCCAUCUAGUUCUCGUUUCUAAACCCAGGGGAGAUGCUAUCUUUGCUGCAAUAAUCUUAGCCUACAUCUUGGAAUGGAAAUGGCCUUGGUGGAAAUGGUCUUCAACUCCUCUGGUCCAAGCUCAGGCCCUGUGACCCUGGAACAAUCCCCUUCCUGGUCCUCCAUGUAGGAGCAAUAACAUUCCCUUGCCAGCGGCACCAGCCAUUCUGAUGAUUAAAUGGUAUCGGACUCUGUUUUCCAAACUCAGUCAUUCAGAUGCCCCCUAUUUUAUUUCUUCCAUGUCUGCAAAUGAUUAUAAUAUUUUUAAAUGUAAGAUGAGUCCUUUUUAUUACACAUAGAAAUAGCUACUGUAAAUAGCAAACUCUAACACUGUGCCUAAUUAGGAAAUAAAGGUAACCAUAAAUACAGUAAAAA
rnacentral:lncRNA from 1 species